GACGUAGGGCGCGAGCGUUGUCCGGAUUUAUUGGGCGUAAAGAGCUCGUAGGCGGCUUGUCGCGUCGUCCGUGAAAACUCACAGCUCAACUGUGAGCUUGCGGUCGAUACGGGCAGGCUAGAGUUCGGUAGGGGAGACUGGAAUUCCUGGUGUAGCGGUGAAAUGCGCAGAUAUCAGGAGGAACACCGGUGGCGAAGGCGGGUCUCUGGACAGUUCCUGACGCUGAGGCACGAAGGUCAGGGGAGCAAACGGG
rnacentral:rRNA from 1 species